rnacentral:siRNA from 1 species
GUGAGAAGGUACAGACAUCGUGAU